UUGUACAAUAGAAGUUACCCUUUUUUUUUAUUUUUUUUUUGGGGGGAAGGUAGUUUCCAACUCUUAUAUACCAGUAUGUACCAAUAAAUAUGCAUUUUACACAUGGCUGCCCCUCUUGGUUUGUCAAUUUAAGUUUCCUUUUUUUUAGCCAAAAAGGUAUUCCAUGACUUUGAUAUCGUUCAAGUGCUUCUUCCCUGUUUAACAUAUUCUUAAUCUUGGGAUUUUACAGAAAUGUGCGAUAAUGUUGGACAGCCUGGGAUGCCAAGACAGCC
rnacentral:lncRNA from 1 species